rnacentral:rRNA from 1 species
UCCGGUUGAUCCUGCCGGAGGCCACUGCUAUGGGGGUCCGACUAAGCCAUGCGAGUCAUGGGGCGCGCUCUGCGCGCACCGGCGGACGGCUCAGUAACACGUCGGUAACCUACCCUCGGGAGGGGGAUAACCCCGGGAAACUGGGGCUAAUCCCCCAUAGGCCUGAGGUACUGGAAGGUCCUCAGGCCGAAAGGGGCUCUGCCCGCCCGAGGAUGGGCCGGCGGCCGAUUAGGUAGUUGGUGGGGUAACGGCCCACCAAGCCGAAGAUCGGUACGGGCCAUGAGAGUGGGAGCCCGGAGAUGGACACUGAGACACGGGUCCAGGCCCUACGGGGCGCAGCAGGCGCGAAACCUCCGCAAUGCGGGCAACCGCGACGGGGGGACCCCCAGUGCCGUGGCAUAGCCACGGCUUUUCCGGAGUGUAAAAAGCUCCGGGAAUAAGGGCUGGGCAAGGCCGGUGGCAGCCGCCGCGGUAAUACCGGCGGCCCGAGUGGUGGCCGCUAUUAUUGGGCCUAAAGCGUCCGUAGCCGGGCCCGUAAGUCCCUGGCGAAAUCCCACGGCUCAACCGUGGGGCUUGCUGGGGAUACUGCGGGCCUUGGGACCGGGAGAGGCCGGGGGUACCCCUGGGGUAGGGGUGAAAUCCUAUAAUCCCAGGGGGACCGCCAGUGGCGAAGGCGCCCGGCUGGAACGGGUCCGACGGUGAGGGACGAAGGCCAGGGGAGCGAACCGGAUUAGAUACCCGGGUAGUCCUGGCUGUAAAGGAUGCGGGCUAGGUGUCGGGCGAGCUUCGAGCUCGCCCGGUGCCGGAGGGAAGCCGUUAAGCCCGCCGCCUGGGGAGUACGGCCGCAAGGCUGAAACUUAAAGGAAUUGGCGGGGGAGCACUACAAGGGGUGGAGCGUGCGGUUUAAUUGGAUUCAACGCCGGG